rnacentral:rRNA from 1 species
UACAGAGGGCGCGAGCGUUGUCCGGAAUCACUGGGCGUAAAGGGCGCGUAGGUGGCCACCAUAAGGCCGCGGUGAAAGUCUGGGGCUCAACCCCGGAUCGGCCGCGGCGACUGUGGGGCUUGGGCACUGUAGAGGCAGAUGGAAUUCCGGGUGUAGCGGUGGAAUGCGUAGAGAUCCGGAAGAACACCAGUGGCGAAGGCGGUCUGCUGGGCAGUGGGAGCCGCAAGGUUCCUUUUAGCCGACACUGAGGCGCGACAGCGUGGGGGAGCAAACAGG